rnacentral:rRNA from 1 species
UGAACGCUAGCGGGAGGCCUAAUACAUGCAAGUCGAACGGUAACAGGGCAGAACUUCGGUUCAGCCGCUGACGAGUGGCGCACGGGUGAGUAACGCGUAUAUAACCUGCCUUCAAGAGAGAGAUAGCCCUGGGAAACUGGGAUUAAUACCUCAUAGAAUUGCUAAGUCGCAUGGCUGUGCAAUUAAAGCUUCGGCGCUUGAAGAUGGAUGUGCGUACCAUUAGCUAGUUGGUAAGGUAACGGCUUACCAAGGCAACGAUGGUUAGGGGGCGUGAGAGCGUGACCCCCCACACGGGUACUGAGACACGGACCCGACUCCUACGGGAGGCAGCAGUAAGGAAUAUUGGACAAUGGAGGCAACUCUGAUCCAGCCAUCCCGCGUGCAGGAUGAAUGCCCUACGGGUUGUAAACUGCUUUUAUUUGGGAAGAAACCUGGUCAUUUACUGAUCAGUUGACGGUACCUUAUGAAUAAGCACCGGCUAACUCCGUGCCAGCAGCCGCGGUAAUACGGAGGGUGCAAGCGUUAUCCGGAAUCACUGGGUUUAAAGGGAGCGUAGGCGGCAUAAUAAGUCAGAGGUGAGAGGCUGUAGCUCAACUAUGGAAUUGCCUUUGAUACUGUUAUGCUUGAAUCGAGUUGAGGUCAGCAGAAUGUGACAUGUAGCGGUGAAAUGCAUAGAUAUGUCAUAGAAUACCAAUUGUGAAGACAGCUGGCUGGACUUGUAUUGACGCUGAGGCUCGAAAGCGUGGGGAGCAAACAGGAUUAGAUGCCCUGGUAGUCCACGCCCUAAACGAUGUUUACUCGAUGUUGGCUUUUAGAAGUCAGCGUCCANCGGAAACCAUUANGUAAACCACCUGGGGAGUACGUC